AAUUCAGAAUUAAUAUUGUAACAUAGACCUAAAAAAUCUAUAAAACAACUUUUAACAACGGAUCUCUUGGUUCUCGCAUCGAUGAAGAACGUAGCAAAGUGCGAUAACUAGUGUGAAUUGCAUAUUCAGUGAAUCAUCGAGUCUUUGAACGCAACUUGCGCUCAUUGGUAUUCCAAUGAGCACGCCUGUUUCAGUAUCAAAAC
rnacentral:rRNA from 1 species